rnacentral:rRNA from 1 species
UACGGGGGGAGCAAGCGUUGUUCGGAUUUACUGGGCGUAAAGGGCGCGUAGGCGGUCAGCACAAGUCAGUUGUGAAAUCUCCGGGCUUAACUCGGAAAGGUCAACUGAUACUGUGCGACUAGAGUGCGGAAGGGGCAACUGGAAUUCUCGGUGUAGCGGUGAAAUGCGUAGAUAUCGAGAGGAACACCUGCGGCGAAGGCGGCUCACUGGUCCAUUACUGACGCUGAGGUGCGAAAGCGUGGGGAGCAAACAGG